CGGACGGUUGAGUAACACGUGAGAAUCUGCCCUUUAGUGGGGGUAUACCCUCGAGAAAUCGAAGAUAAUACCGCAUACGUCCCUUCGGGGAGAAAGGUGGCUUUUAUGCCAUCGCUAAAGGAUGAGCUUGCGGCCUAUCAGCUAGUUGGUGGGGUAAAGGCCCACCAAGGCAAUGACGGGUAGCCGGCCUGAGAGGGUGUUCGGCCAGAUUGGAACUGAGAUACGGUCCAGACUCCUACGGGAGGCAGCAGUGAGGAAUCUUGCGCAAUGGGCGAAAGCCUGACGCAGCGACGCCGCGUGGAGGAUGAAGGCCUUCGGGUUGUAAACUUCUGUUAAGUGGGAAGAAAACCUUAUUUUUAAUAGAGAUAGGGGAUGACGGUACCAUUAGAGAAAGCACUGGCUAAUCUCGUGCCAGCAGCCGCGGUAAUACGAGAGGUGCAAGCGUUAUUCGGAAUCAUUGGGCGUAAAGGGUGCGUAGACGGUGUGUUAAGUCUGUUGUUAAAUAUUCCGGCCUAACCGGAAAUCUGCGGCGGAAACUGGCGCACUAGAGGGUGGAAGAGAAAAGUGGAAUUCUCGGAGUAGCGGUAAAAUGCGUGGAUCUCGAGAGGAACACCAAUGGCGAAAGCAGCUUCUUGGUCCAUACCUGACGUUGAGGCACGAAAGCGUGGGGAGCAAACAGGAUUAGAUACCCUGGUAGUCCACGCUGUAAACGAUGACCACUAGACGUUAACCCUGUUUUACAGGGUUAGUGUCGUAGCUACGCGUUAAGUGGUUCGCCUGGGGACUACGGCCGCAAGGCUAAACUUAAAGGAAUUGACGGGGGUCCGCACAAGCGGUGGAACAUGUGGUUUAAUUCGACA
rnacentral:rRNA from 1 species